rnacentral:tRNA from 1 species
GGACGAUUAGCUCAGCUGGUAUGAGCAUCCGCUUGACGUGCGGGAGGUCACAAGUUCGAGUCUUGUAUCGUCCACCA